CUUUUGUGGACAGGACAAUGUGGUGUUACGGUGUGCUCCUGGGAGCGCCUGCCUACUCGAAGUCCAUCUCCGAUUCUGGCUUGGACUUAGCCCAUAGCGGGUGAAAGGCCCGUGCGGGUAGGCAUUGUGCAAUUUGCGCUCCUCAGAUGUGCAUAUCCUCGAGUCGGAUUGCUUGAGAAUGCAGUCCAAAGAGGGUGGUAAACUCCAUCCAAGGCUAAAUACUGGCACGAGUCCGAUAGUAGACAAGUACCGUGAGGGAAAGUUGAAAAGUACUCUGAAGAGAGAGUAAAGAGCACGUGAAACCGCUUGCAGGGAAGCUGGUGGAGUCAAGCUUCAUGCAUUAUGAAUUGCUGCAAGGAUUAUGUUGUUAAUGGGAUACUAUCGGUUAACCUGGAAAUGGUUUGCUGCAUGCGAGUGCAGUACAAGUCAUACUGGGCUGUUUGUUUGUGCCGAGAGUUUUCCCUUGAUCCUCGUGGUUUAUUUGUAUUGCAUACAUCACGGUCAAUGGUGUAAUUGUGCUGUGUGAGUAUCUAACUGUGCCUUUGUGGAUGUCAAAGUCUGCGGGGCAUGGAAUGGCAGAAGGCAUGUACUAGCUUUUCGUUGGUACUAUGCGUAUUAUGGUUUUGACCUGCUGAUGCUCAUGUACAGUAUCGUUCCCAUUGUUCAUGUACGAGUUUUGCUUUACGGAGCUAAGCUCACUGAUAACCGUGGUGCUGAGGUAGACCCUUCCACC
rnacentral:rRNA from 1 species